GAUGAACGCUGGCGGCGUGCUUAACACAUGCAAGUCGAACGGAAAAGCCCUGCUUUUGUGGGGUGCUCGAGUGGCGAACGGGUGAGUAACACGUGAGUAACCUGCCCUUGACUUUGGGAUAACUUCAGGAAACUGGGGCUAAUACCGGAUAGGAGCUCCUGCUGCAUGGUGGGGGUUGGAAAGUUUCGGCGGUUGGGGAUGGACUCGCGGCUUAUCAGCUUGUUGGUGGGGUAGUGGCUUACCAAGGCUUUGACGGGUAGCCGGCCUGAGAGGGUGACCGGCCACAUUGGGACUGAGAUACGGCCCAGACUCCUACGGGAGGCAGCAGUGGGGAAUAUUGCACAAUGGGCGGAAGCCUGAUGCAGCAACGCCGCGUGCGGGAUGACGGCCUUCGGGUUGUAAACCGCUUUCGCCUGUGACGAAGCGUGAGUGACGGUAAUGGGUAAAGAAGCACCGGCUAACUACGUG
rnacentral:rRNA from 1 species